UACGUAGGUGGCGAGCGUUAUCCGGAAUUAUUGGGCGUAAAGAGCGCGCAGGUGGUUGAUUAAGUCUGAUGUGAAAGCCCACGGCUUAACCGUGGAGGGUCAUUGGAAACUGGUCGACUUGAGUGCAGAAGAGGGAAGUGGAAUUCCAUGUGUAGCGGUGAAAUGCGUAGAGAUAUGGAGGAACAUCAGUGGCGAAGGCGGCUUCCUGGUCUGUAACUGACACUGAGGCGCGAAAGCGUGGGGAGCAAACAGGAUUAGA
rnacentral:rRNA from 1 species